rnacentral:rRNA from 1 species
CCUACGGGAGGCUGCAGUGAGGAAUAUUGGUCAAUGGGCGCGAGCCUGAACCAGCCAAGCAGCGUGAAGGAUGACUGCCCUACGGGUUGUAAACUUCUUUUAUAAAGGAAUAAAGUGAGGCACGUGUGCCGUUUUGUAUGUACUUUAUGAAUAAGGAUCGGCUAACUCCGUGCCAGCAGCCGCGGUAAUACGGAGGAUCCGAGCGUUAUCCGGAUUUAUUGGGUUGAAAGGGAGCGGAGAUGGGUUGUUAAGUCAGUUGUGAAAGUUUGCGGCUCAACCGUAAGAUUGCAAUUGAUACUGGCAGGCUUGAGGACAGGUGAGGUAGGCGGAAUUCGUGGUGUAGCGGUGAAAUGCUUAGAUAGCACGAAGAACACCGAUUGCGAAGGCAGCUUACUAAACUGCCACUGACAUUGAUGCUCGAAAGUGUGGGGAUCAAACAGGAUUAGAUACCCGUGUAGUC